GUUUAAAUAUCUCAAGCAAUCACUCGCUUGUUAGGAGGCCCAUAGCUCUCAGACAUUCAGUCUCCAUCUCUCUUAACCCAAUGACAAGGCGUCAAAAAUUAAUCUCUCAUAUUUUCCGUUUUCGUAUUACCGUAUAUAUUUUAUCCUGGGAUUAUUGCGAUAUUCGCUUUGCAGAUUUAUAAAAGUUAUUUUAUCAAAAUAUAUCUCUUGUGUCCUGCCGAUGGGAGAAAAACGCCUGUAGAAAACUUGUAUAAAUGUGCUCGUCGGUAGUCCAAACAAUGAGAUUUGAUAAGUCAACACCUUGCAAACAUAGCAGAUGCCUCAAGGAAAACUACAUGAUAACCGAAACAUACAUUUCAUCAAAUGUUUCUCUUGAACUUCAAAUCUGAAAAGUGUUAUACCAAUGCCUGGCUAAUGCAAUGGGCGAAAUUUCUUGUCAAACACAUUAGAUGUUUGGGAUCAGCUUCUACUGCUCUAGAUUAGACCACAAGCAUACUGAUAUUUGCUUUGUUAUGCUAGCUAAGUUAAAACGUCGCGAGAAAACGAUUUGGAAUUUGUCGGUUCUUCCCGUUUGACUAAUUGACAUCGCAGCUCGCGGUGAUAUUUAUACAGGUCAACUGACUUUAAUGUGGGUAGUGAGCAAACCGUGCUGGGGACUAUGAAUACAUGUUGUGAUAGCUACAAUCCUUUCUUAUUUUAUAACACCUCAUCUCUCAUGUUUUAUCAUAUUGAUAUUGGGUACCUGUCGGCUGUCGAGUUUAACUGAAAAUCUUCAGAUUCACAAAAGAUCUUCUGGCUCACAACUGAUUACACAAUAGAACAUCUUCAUCUUGAAAAUGUACAUUGUUCUACUGUACAACACGUCAAUACUAUACACCGUGCCCAGUGUUUAAAACGUUUCUCUGUUUUGACAUCUAAAAAUACGAGCUUGUUCAUGAUCGUUCAUUACAUAUAUAGGCCUUACUUGUUAAUACAAUAUACUGAAAUGAAUGCAUUUUGCUGACUAACAAAUCGACUACACCAGAUCUGAGUAUGAGCACUAGAGGCUGAAUAGAGCACAGUAGAGAAAAUAAAGUUUAGAUGAAGGUGGAACCGUGGUGGAACAUAUCCGUCUGUAUUCUCUCCUUUGCUCAAAGCCCGACUGUGCUCUUAAUGUUAUAAAAAUCAAUAGCAUUUUUUUUAUAUCUACGACUAUGAGCCUAGUGUUUAGGUUGGGACUAUAGUAUCCUUCCUAUAGUAUACUCAUAACUCAUCUCUAUAAAAUAGAGUAGAAGACGAAACAGACUCGAAACAAGUUCCAUUUUGAAACUCAACAGAUUUGAGGAAAACAAGAGAAUUACAAAUUCGCCAUUGUGUUUAUGUCAUGAAGAGUCUAUACCGCACAAUCACUUGUAUUCGUGAUCAGUCAACACUCUUUUCCAAGACGCCGGAUGAUCCAGGCUGAUGGAUCGAAUUCAUUACCAAAUAAAUACCCAUGAAGACCAUGAACGUGGUCAGCACACGAAACUAUCAGUACAUUCGUUGCCAUGCAAACCUACAAGAAACUUAUUAGAUUAAGUUCUGUUUUGUAUAACUGUCAUGCUUGAAAUAUUAGCACAUUUCAGUGGGAUGUACUCAUUUUUAUAUUGUUUUAUUCGAUUUUAUUCAGGACUCAUUAAAUUGAACAAAAUUGCAACAUGCUGAAAAAUGAGCAAAGGUAAUCCAGACUAACAAUUAAAAGGUUUAACCUAAAAUACAAUGAAUGAAAAGAAACGUGUUUUAAAUUUAGCCGGCGUGCAACAUUGCAGCAGGUUGAAUGUGUUUCAGUGAUUAUGUUGUUUGUUUAACGUAGGGUACCAAAAACGUGAGCCAGAUCAUUGGAACAAAGACACAUUUAGAACAAGAAAAAUAAAGAUUUAUUUGUAACUUGUUGAAAUUACAAAGAAGUCUUAUAAACAGCAUGACGUCAGUGUACUGACACACUUCCGACAAAACGUUAUGUGUGACCUGUGUAGUAAACAUCAUUAUCUUUUGUAUUCAACAUUAAUAAUAUUUCUUAAAUGCAUGGAACUUAGAAAAUGCUACAGAUAAGCAUCGUACCACAUAACUGAGUGUUUAAUUAUAAAGAAUAUGUAACACUAUAGAACGUUUAUAAUUGUAAUACUAAUAGUCUUCAUCACUGCCACACUAACUGCUCGCUAUUAAAUAUAUUUAAUUUCUGAAAUUGAAAGCACGGCAUUCCACCGUUUGACACUGUAUACAUACAUUUACAGUACAAUUUCAUUAUGUGAAUAACAUCCUACUCUCUCGUUAAGCUUACAUCACUCACCCUUGCAUUCUGGCAAAUAAAUAGUCGUUAUAUGUACAUGACGUCAUUUUGUUGAACUUUUAGAAGGAUAUAGGAAACCUCUUGAAAGUGAAGCAUAUACCAAAACCUUGUCAUGAAUAUUUCCGACAUGACUGAGAAUUUUUCAUCUCAAGUUGAACCGCCGUUCCCUCGUCGCAGCAUUACGUUAUUAGAGAGUUUAAGCUUCGCGUUAUACGUCAAACGGCA